GCGAACGCUGGCGGCAGGCUUAACACAUGCAAGUCGAGCGGGCGUAGCAAUACGUCAGCGGCAGACGGGUGAGUAACGCGUGGGAACAUACCUUUUGGUUCGGAACAACACAGGGAAACUUGUGCUAAUACCGGAUAAGCCCUUACGGGGAAAGAUUUAUCGCCAUGAGAGGGGCCCGCGUCGGAUUAGGUAGUUGGUGGGGUAACGGCCUACCAAGCCUGCGAUCCGUAGCUGGUCUGAGAGGAUGGCCAGCCACACUGGGACUGAGACACGGCCCAGACUCCUACGGGAGGCAGCAGUGGGGAAUCUUGGACAAUGGGGGCAACCCUGAUCCAGCGAUGCCGCGUGGGUGAUGAAGGCCUUCGGGUUGUAAAGCCCUUUCGCCGGGGACGAUAGUGACGGUACCCGGAGAAGAAGCCUCGGCUAACUCCGU
rnacentral:rRNA from 1 species